rnacentral:rRNA from 1 species
GACGAAGGUGGCGAGCGUUGUUCGGAAUCACUGGGCAUAAAGCGCACGUAGGCGGCGGCGUAAGUUGGAUGUGAAAUCCCCCGGCCCAACCGGGGAACUGCGUCCAGUACUGCGUUGCUUGAGGAUCCAAGGGGUGCAUGGAAUUCCCGGUGGAGCGGUGAAAUGCGUUGAUAUCGGGAGGAACUCCGGCGGCGAAAGCGGUGCACUGGUGGAUUUCUGACGCUGAGGUGCGAAAGCCAGGGGAGCAAACGGG